rnacentral:rRNA from 1 species
GACGAACGCUGGCGGCGCGCUUAACACAUGCAAGUCGAACGGAAAGGCCUGCUUUCCCUUGUGGAUUGCGGGUACUCGAGUGGCGAACGGGUGAGUAACACGUGAGUGAUCUGCCCCCAACUUGGGUAUAAGCCUGGGAAACUGGGUCUAAUUCCCGAUAGGACUGCAGGGUGGUGCCUGUGGUGGAAAACGAUUUUCUAGUGGUUGGGGAUGAGCUCGCGGCCUAUCAGCUUGUUGGUGGGGUAAUGGCCUACCAAGGCGGCGACGGGUAGCCGGCCUGGGAGGGUGGACGGCCACAUUUGGACUGAGAUACGGCCCAGACUCCUACGGGAGGCAGCAGUGGGGAAUAUUGCACAAUGGGCGGAAGCCUGAUGCAGCGACGCCGCGUGGGGGAUGACGGCCUUCGGGUUGUAAACUCCUUUCGACCGCGAGGAAGCCACCUGGUUGGAAGGGUGGUGACGGUAGUGGUAGAAGAAGCACCGGCUAACUACGUG